GUUACUUUUCCAGGGCUGGAUUUAGGACUUAGUAAGAGAACUGGAUCAUAGCUCUCCAAGAUAGGGACCAAGAAGUUGGGGACAGAGUCUGUUACUUGGAUGGAGACACUGGACCAAAAUAAGAGGUGGAGCUCAAAAAAGCGUUGGCGCUACUAGACGGAAAAGGCAGGCUUGGAAGGCCGAGAACAGGAACUUGUCUGCUGGCCCUAACCCUAGCCCCACCGGGCCCACACCUUGACUGGUUGUCCGUUUCUCGUCCGUAAGAGGCUUUGGUCGUCCGCCUCGAUGCCAAAAGCCAUAAAGGGCCCCGUGGCGAUGUCCCCCCAGUAUCCUUGCGCAGCCACGCGUUCCCCACGCUGGAAAAAACCAAAGCCCAGCAAGGCUGGCUGUGACCAUCCACCACCGCCUGAGCGGAGCCACCUGCUGUGCUGCUCCUUUGAUGUGCCACUACCUGCCUGAGGCUCAACCUGCCAGAGGCCUGAACCGGUUCUCUUCCAAGAAUCUUCCAGAGUUAACACCGAACUGCGAUCUUUGCGAGUUCCCACUAAAAGGCUGACCUAUCUACUUCAAAGGAACUUUGCUUGGCCAGGGACGGGCCUCCCCUUUUCUUUAUAAAGCGUGUUUGCUGACAUUAAAAUUGAACCUUGAGC
ensembl:antisense Gm15873 predicted gene 15873